GCUUGCUCCUCUGACGUUAGCGGCGGACGGGUGAGUAACACGUGGAUAACCUACCUAUAAGACUGGGAUAACUUCGGGAAACCGGAGCUAAUACCGGAUAACAUGUUGAACCGCAUGGUUCAACAGUGAAAGACGGUCUUGCUGUCACUUAUAGAUGGAUCCGCGCCGCAUUAGCUAGUUGGUAAGGUAACGGCUUACCAAGGCAACGAUGCGUAGCCGACCUGAGAGGGUGAUCGGCCACACUGGAACUGAGACACGGUCCAGACUCCUACGGGAGGCAGCAGUAGGGAAUCUUCCGCAAUGGGCGAAAGCCUGACGGAGCAACGCCGCGUGAGUGAAGAAGGUCUUCGGAUCGUAAAACUCUGUUAUUAGGGAAGAACAAAUGUGUAAGUAACUAUGCACGUCUUGACGGUACCUAAUCAGAAAGCCACGGCUAACUACGUGCCAGCAGCCGCGGUAAUACGUAGGUGGCAAGCGUUAUCCGGAAUUAUUGGGCGUAAAGCGCGCGUAGGCGGUUUUUUAAGUCUGAUGUGAAAGCCCACGGCUCAACCGUGGAGGGUCAUUGGAAACUGGAAAACUUGAGUGCAGAAGAGGAAAGUGGAAUUCCAUGUGUAGCGGUGAAAUGCGCAGAGAUAUGGAGGAACACCAGUGGCGAAGGCGACUUUCUGGUCUGUAACUGACGCUGAUGUGCGAAAGCGUGGGGAUCAAACAGGAUUAGAUACCCUGGUAGUCCACGCCGUAAACGAUGAGUGCUAAGUGUUAGGGGGUUUCCGCCCCUUAGUGCUGCAGCUAACGCAUUAAGCACUCCGCCUGGGGAGUACGACCGCAAGGUUGAAACUCAAAGGAAUU
rnacentral:rRNA from 1 species